rnacentral:rRNA from 1 species
GACGAACGCUGGCGGCGUGGAUUAGGCAUGCAAGUCGAACGGUAUCAUCCUUUCGGGGGUGAGAGAGUGGCGAACUGGUGAGUAACACGUAGGUUAUCUACCCUCAAGACGGGGACAACCCAGGGAAACUUGGGCUAAUACCGGAUGUGAGCAACUUUUAGUUGUUUGAAAGGUGGCGUAAGCUGUCGCUUGGGGAUGAGCCUGCGUCCUAUUAGUUAGUUGGUGAGGUAACGGCUCACCUAGGCAAUGAUAGGUAGGCGGCCUUAACGGGUGGUCGCCCACACUGGGAUUGAGAUACGGCCCAGACUCCUACGGGAGGCAGCAGUCGAGAAUAGUCUACAAUGGUCGGAAGACUGAUAGUGCGACGCCGCGUGAACGAUGAAUCCCUUCGGGGUGUAAAGUUCUUUUAUAUGUGAGCAGUGCUUCUUAUAUUAACAGUAUGGGGAGAGAGAUAUUAGCAUAUGAAUAAGCAACGGCUAACUCCGUGCCCAGCAGCCGCGGU